CCACAUUAGUUGUUCAUUUGUUCAACAAACAGGCAACACCUAAGGGCCAGGUCCUAGUCUAGGUGCCAUGGAUAGAGUGGUAAAGAAGACAGACAAACUUCCAGCUUCAUGAAGCUUACUAAAUUCCAGUGGUGAAAAGAGACAAUAAAUAAGGACAGUAGUGACUAGUGCUAUAAAGAAGAAUAAAGAAUAACACAGGCACCUAGGUGCCAGACAUGAGAGUGAAGACAUCUUGGACAUUCCAGCCCCAGUCAUGUGCCUGCAGCUUCAUGACAGACUACUCGUGACACCAGCAGAAGAACCAUUCAGCUGAUCUUUAGUCAACUCACAGAAUCAUGGGAAAUAAUAAAAUGGUGGUUGUACUAGGUGCUCCCCGUAAGUUGAACCUAGUCCAAGGCAGAAGGAAAAGGAGCCUUCGAUGUUGUCCAUAAAGGUCAGACUCUCAGGUCACAGAGCAAGGGAGAGAAGAAUGGAGAUUGGCUCUGGAGAGGCAAACAGAAGAGAUUCAGCAGGGGCCACCCCCUUCCCCUUCAGCAUCAACUCUAGCUCUCCGUAGAAUAGUUGAAGACCUUUCAGGAGCUGAGUCUUUCCAAUGAGGGAUGCAGCCCAUGGUGACUUCUUAGAGAGGGAGCUGGAG
rnacentral:lncRNA from 1 species